CCUUCAAUUUUAGGGCAAAUCAUUUCAGCCUCGGCAUCCCCAAUCGCCUCUAUCUCCAGUCUCGUUCUCAACUCUGAACUUGUCCUAUCUCUGUCCCUGCAACUGCAAACUACAAAAUCUACAAGAAUCAAACCCAUAUAAUUCAGUUUAUCUAUCUGUCUGCAAGAAUCAAAAUUUCAAAACCUAUUACCUAUAUCAAAACCCAUAUCGGCAUAUCAUUUCAGAUUGUUCAAAAAAUCAACACCCAUAUCCUUCAGUUUCCAUCGCCCGCUGUUCCAGUUCGAGUUCGCCAUUGGCAAGCUUCAGCCACUGGCCCGCUGUCUCUCAACUCUCAAGCCCCUCUCUCUGCAAUAUAUAUAUAUAUACACACACACACACGUAUAUAUAUAUUUUGACUGCCUACUCAAACCCUAAUCUCUCUCUUGACUGUAAACAUUCCUCAUAUCAGGUCCAUAUUCUGUUCUGCCUUAGUUCAACCUUUGCCCAUAAUCUUUCAUCUUUACACCCUAGCCAUAUCAUACAAUUUUAGCCGCCAUCAAAUCAGCAACUGAUCGGAACAACGAAUUCAACGGUAAAACCACAAUUUUUAGCGACGUACCUCUCCAUUUAGCGCAUCAGAAAGUUCCAUUCUACCCAUGGGUUCGGAUCUGGUCAUUGGUUGAUUCGUUCUUCGAUUUGGGGAUUUUGUAGUUUUGGUUAUGUUGCAUUUUGCAGAGGGUUUUUGACUCUGAUUCGCACUUCUCUUCGUGGUUGCUUUUGUUCGAUCUUGGAGAUUUCGGCCAACUCUCGUUGUAGGGAAAGCUUCGCCGACCCAAAUUCGAAUAGACAAAGGAGCAAUUACAAGUUAUCUUGGAGCUUUCGGCCAAAUCGCGUUGUAGGGUAAGCUUCGUCGGCCAAAAUUCGAAGAAACAAAGGAGCAAUUACGAGUUACCGGUUGUGAGGAAAAGGAAGAGGACAUUGUUGUUGCUCGUGGUCUCGAGGAAGAAGAGAAAAACAUAGGGGAAAUGAAGGAAGAAAAAAGGUGUGUAUCUUCUCACCAAGAAACAAAGAUGCCAUUUAUCAAAGGAGAUCCUCUAGCUGUUCGUUGAUGCUAGAUUCAGUUGUUGACUGAGCACAAUGAACAAAAAUUAUGGUCAAAGCUAGGAUUGCGGGAUUGCGGUUCCCGUUACUGUUUUUGUUGCCGUUAUAUUUUUUGUAUGGCUCAUGAUCAAGAAGUUGCAUAUAUGGACGAGAGAGACUAAAACAAAGCAAGAAGAUAUGAAGAAUUUUUGUUUCAUUUUAGUUAAGUAAAGAUAUAAGAUGUGGAUCAUGUACUUCUUUGAAAUUUGUAUAUAUUCUUGUAUAAAACCAUGAUUUGGAAUUGGUUAUAUAUAUAUAUGAUGUUAUUGGCCAAGUUAUUUUGGUUA